rnacentral:rRNA from 1 species
UACAGAGGUCCCAAGCGUUGUUCGGAUUCACUGGGCGUAAAGGGUGCGUAGGUGGCGAGGUAAGUCGGAUGUGAAAGCUCGGAGCUCAACUCCGAAAUGGCAUUGGAAACUACCUUGCUCGAGGGUUGGAGGGGGGACUGGAAUUCUCGGUGUAGCAGUGAAAUGCGUAGAUAUCGAGAGGAACACCAGUGGCGAAGGCGAGUCCCUGGACAACUCCUGACACUGAGGCACGAAAGCGUGGGGAGCAAAAGGG